UACAGAGGUCCCAAGCGUUGUUCGGAUUCACUGGGCGUAAAGGGUGCGUAGGCGGUCGGGUAAGUCUGAUGUGAAAUCUCACAGCUUAACUGUGAAACUGCAUUGGAUACUAGUUCGGCUUGAGAGUUGGAGGGGGGACGUGGAAUUCUUGGUGGUAGCAGUGGAAAUGCGUAGAUAUCAAGAGGAACACCAGUGGCGAAGGCGAGUCCCUGGACAACUUCUGACGCUGAGGCAACGAAAGCUAGGGGAGCAAACAGG
rnacentral:rRNA from 1 species